rnacentral:lncRNA from 1 species
GGACACCUGACAGGGCAGAAAAAGUAGAGAGGAUCUGGAGGGACAAAAAAUAAACAGUACAAGCUGGUAUUAGUUGUAAUCAGAAAAUGAGGUGUUAUUUAUAUAAAAAUGAACCUCAGCAGACUAGAAAUCAAGCAGCAUCAGUGAACUUAUUUUUACAGCCACGAUUCUGAGCUAACCCUAUGCUCAGCUUCAGGAAUGUGGAGAUGUUAUCAGACAUGGCCUGAGGCUCCCUGAAGAAGAGAGACAUGUAACCAACAACUAAAACACAGGAGCAGUCCAGGGAGAUGAUGCAGCUGCCUGGUUGCUGGUCACCAGGGCUGUUGGACACCUGUGUGGAGGACCUGGGAGAAGUCUUUUGCUCCACACUUGCUCCUUUCCUGCCAGGCCCUUCAGCUGACUAAAAGAAAUCACUGGUGGUAAAAUGCUUCGCAAACCGUGGAAUAAGACCUUGUGGGUUAAAUUUUGAUGAAGGUAAAAACAGCAUUGCCUCUUUUCUGUCGUCUGUAUGUUUAUCCUCCCCUCCCCCAAUAGUGGAUCACAGUUUUGCCUUUUUCUACUUUCCUGGCACCUUUACACACAGGGCCUUACAGCUUGCAUGUCCAGCUCUUCCGG